rnacentral:tRNA from 1 species
GCCUAGGUGGUGAAAUUGGUAGACACGCAAGAUUCAGGUUCUUGUGAUCGCAAGAUUGUGGGAGUUCGAGUCUCCCCCUGGGCACCA